GGACCACUUUCACCUCUUGGUAGCCAUUACUUUGAUUGUGCCUUGUCUUCAGGACCACACUGGUAAAGCCAUGUUUCAUCUCCUCUUUUAAAUUCUUUGAAGA